rnacentral:tRNA from 1 species
AAAAUCCGUCGACUUUAGAAAUCGUGAGGGUUCAAGUCCCUCUAUCCCCCCAAAAAGACCGAUUUGACUAUUUCUCCUACCCUCUCUUUUUUUUAGUGGUUCAAAAUUCGUUCUCUUUCUCAUUCAUUCUACCUUUUUACAAACGUAUCAGAGCAGAAUUUUUUUUUCUUUUAUCACAAUCACAAGUGGUGUGGUAUAUAUGAUAUACGUACAAAUGAACAUCUUUGAACAAAGAAUCCCGAUUCACAAUCCAUAUCAUUGCUCAUACUGAAACUUAUAAAUUAUUCUAUUCAAGAAAUCGAAUUCCACGCUCAAGACUUUUAAUACUUUUUUUAUCUUUUUUAAUUGACAUAGACCCCAGUCAUCUAGUAAAACGAGGAUGAUGCGCCGGUAAUGGUCGGGAUAGCUCAGCUGGUAGAGCAGAGGACUGAAAAUCCUCGUGU